GCACAAGCGGUGGAUGAUGUGGAUUAAUUCGAUGCAACGCGAAAAACCUUACCUACCCUUGACAUGGUCGGAAUCCCGCUGAGAGGUGGGAGUGCUCGAAAGAGAACCGGCGCACAGGUGCUGCAUGGCUGUCGUCAGCUCGUGUCGUGAGAUGUUGGGUUAAGUCCCGCAACGAGCGCAACCCUUGUCCUUAGUUGCUACGCAAGAGCACUCUAAGGAGACUGCCGGUGACAAACCGGAGGAAGGUGGGGAUGACGUCAAGUCCUCAUGGCCCUUAUGGGUAGGGCUUCACACGUCAUACAAUGGUCGGAACAGAGGGUUGCCAACCCGCGAGGGGGAGCUAAUCCCAGAAAACCGAUCGUAGUCCGGAUUGCACUCUGCAACUCGCCCUCAUGAAGCUGGAAUCCGUAGUAAUCGCGUUUCAACAGAACGCGGUGAAUACGUCCCUGCUCCUU
rnacentral:rRNA from 1 species